GACGAACGCUGGCGGCGUGCUUAACACAUGCAAGUCGAACGGUAAGGCCCGGCUUUUGCGGGGUGCUCAAGAGGCGAACAGGGGUGUAACACACGUGUAACAUGCGCUUGACUUUGUGAUAUCUUCAUGAGACUCGGGCUCAUACCGGAUAGGAGCUCUUGCUGCGUGUGGGGGGUUGGAGAGUUUCGGUGGUUGGGGAUGGACUCGCGGCCUAUCAGCUUGUUGGUGGGGUAGUGGCUUACCAAGGCUUUGACGGGUAGCCGGCCUGAGAGGGUGACCGGCCACAUUGGGACUGAGAUACGGCCCAGACUCCUACGGGAGGCAGCAGUGGGGAUUAUUGCACAAUGGGCGGAAGCCUGAUGCAGCAACGCCGCGUGCGGGAUGACGGCCUUCGGGUUGUAAACCGCUUUCGCCUCUGACGAAGCGUGAGUGACGGUAAUUGCUAAAGAAGCACCGGCUAACUACGUG
rnacentral:rRNA from 1 species